rnacentral:misc_RNA from 1 species
GAUGAAGAACGCAGCGAAAUGCGAUACGUAAUGUGAAUUGCAGAAUUCAGUGAAUCAUCGAGUCUUUGAACGCACAUUGCGCCCCCUGGUAUUCCGGGGGGCAUGCCUGUCCGAGCGUCAUUGCUGCCCUCAAGCACGGCUUGUGUGUUGGGCCUCCGUCCUCCUCCUGGGGGACGGGCCCGAAAGGCAGCGGCGGCACCGCGUCCGGUCCUCGAGCGUAUGGGGCUUCGUCACCCGCUCUUGUAGGCCCGGCCGGCGCUUGCCGACACAUCAAUCUUUUUUCCAGGUUGACCUCGGAUCAGGUAGGGAUACCCGCUGAACUUAAGCAUAUCAAUAAGCGGAGGA